rnacentral:rRNA from 1 species
CCUACGGGCGGCAGCAGUGAGGAAUAUUGGUCAAUGGACGAGAGUCUGAACCAGCCAAGUAGCGUGAAGGAUGAAUGCCCUAUGGGUUGUAAACUUCUUUUAUAUGGGAAUAAAAUGUUCCACGUGUGGGAUUUUGUAUGUACCAUAUGAAUAAGGAUCGGCUAACUCCGUGCCAGCAGCCGCGGUAAUACGGAGGAUCCGAGCGUUAUCCGGAUUUAUUGGGUUUAAAGGGAGCGUAGGUGGAUUGUUAAGUCAGUUGUGAAAGUUUGCGGCUCAACCGUAAAAUUGCAGUUGAAACUGGCAGUCUUGAGUACAGUAGAGGUGGGCGGAAUUCGUGGUGUAGCGGUGAAAUGCUUAGAUAUCACGAAGAACUCCGAUUGCGAAGGCAGUUCACUGGACUGCAACUGACACUGAGGCUCGAAAGUGUGGGUAUCAAACAGGAUUAGAUACCCGUGUAGUC